GGAUAAAAGGUACUCCGGGGAUAACAGGCUGAUACCGCCCAAGAGUUCAUAUCGACGGCGGUGUUUGGCACCUCGAUGUCGGCUCAUCACAUCCUGGGGCUGAAGUAGGUCCCAAGGGUAUGGCUGUUCGCCAUUUAAAGUGGUACGCGAGCUGGGUUUAGAACGUCGUGAGACAGUUCGGUCCCUAUCUGCCGUGGGCGCUGGAGAACUGAGGGGGGCUGCUCCUAGUACGAGAGGACCGGAGUGGACGCAUCACUGGUGUUCGGGUUGUCAUGCCAAUGGCACUGCCCGGUAGCUAAAUGCGGAAGAGAUAAGUGCUGAAAGCAUCUAAGCACGAAACUUGCCCCGA
rnacentral:rRNA from 3 species